rnacentral:rRNA from 1 species
CCUACGGGUGGCUGCAGUCGAGGAUCUUCGGCAAUGGGCGCAAGCCUGACCGAGCGACGCCGCGUGCGCGAUGAAGGCCUUCGGGUUGUAAAGCGCUGUCGAGGGGGAGGAAAGCCCCGCAAGGGGCCUGACCUAUCCCUGGAGGAAGCACGGGCUAAGUUCGUGCCAGCAGCCGCGGUAAGACGAACCGUGCGAACGUUGUUCGGAUUCACUGGGCUUAAAGGGCGCGUAGGCGGCUCGCACAGUCGGGGGUGAAAUCUUUCGGCCCAACCGGAAAACGGCCUCCGAUACUGGCGAGCUCGAGCGGGGUAGGGGCACGCGGAACUUCCGGUGGAGCGGUGAAAUGCGUUGAUAUCGGAAGGAACGCCGGUGGCGAAAGCGGCGUGCUGGACCCCCCCUGACGCUGAGGCGCGAAAGCCAGGGGAGCGAACGGGAUUAGA